rnacentral:rRNA from 1 species
AGAGUUUGAUCCUGGCUCAGAACGAACGCUGGCGGCAUGCCUAACACAUGCAAGUCGAACGAGACCUUCGGGUCUAGUGGCGCACGGGUGCGUAACGCGUGGGAAUCUGCCCUUGGGUUCGGAACAACAGUUGGAAACGACUGCUAAUACCGGAUGAUGACUUCGGUCCAAAGAUUUAUCGCCCAAGGAUGAGCCCGCGUAGGAUUAGCUUGUUGGUGAGGUAAAAGCUCACCAAGGCGACGAUCCUUAGCUGGUCUGAGAGGAUGAUCAGCCACACUGGGACUGAGACACGGCCCAGACUCCUACGGGAGGCAGCAGUGGGGAAUAUUGGACAAUGGGCGAAAGCCUGAUCCAGCAAUGCCGCGUGAGUGAUGAAGGCCUUAGGGUUGUAAAGCUCUUUUACCCGGGAUGAUAAUGACAGUACCGGGAGAAUAAGCCCCGGCUAACUCCGUGCCAGCAGCCGCGGUAAUAC